rnacentral:rRNA from 1 species
AUGAAGUGGCGCCAAGCUUCUGGCAUUCUCUAUGACAAGAGAGUGCCACAAAAGCUAAAAGGCAAGUUCUACAGGACGGCGGUUCGACCCGCAAUGUUGUAUGGCGCUGAGUGUUGGCCGACUAAAAGGCGACAUGUUCAACAGUUAGGUGUGGCGGAGAUGCGUAUGUUGAGAUGGAUGUGUGGCCACACGAGGAAGGAUCGAGUCCGGAAUGAUGAUAUACGAGAUAGAGUUGGGGUAGCACCAAUUGAAGAGAAGCUUGUCCAACAUCGUCUGAGAUGGUUUGGGCAUAUUCAGCGCAGGCCUCCAGAAGCUCCGGUGCAUAGUGGACGGCUAAAGCGUGCGGAGAAUGUCAAGAGAGGGCGGGGUAGACCGAAUUUGACAUAG